rnacentral:lncRNA from 1 species
UCUUUCUUUCUUUCUUUCUUCCCUCCCCUCCAUCAUCAACAGAUGAACCACCGAGGUGGUAGCUCAGCCUCUCUCCCCCCACACCCGACGGCAACCCAAGCUGCCUUCCCUCCGACCGCUGUCGUCGCCGCCGGUGGCCAACCCACGCGGAGGGAGAGGAGGAAGGGACGGGAUCACGAGGAGGAAGGCCUCGGAUCCGCCAUCCCCCAUCUCCAAUCAAAGCCCUAGAACCCUACUCCAAAUCUCCUCUAUCCCGACCACCCCACCGCCAUGGACCUCGGCCAAUCCCGGAGGCCGGCGGUGGCGAAAUCCAAAAGAAAGGGGCCGAAACAGGGGUACCCUGUUUCGGAUCCCUCUUCGACGGCUUCACCGGCCAAAACUCCACCAACACCACCCAAAAACCAAUCAAUGAAGCACAAGGACUUACCUCGGUCCGGCGGGAUGCUCCGGCGGCCCUUCCGGCGAGAAAUCGGUGGAGAAAUCCGUGAGUAAACCCACGGAUCCGAGGCCUCUUCGUGUGUUUGGUGGGGAUCCUCCUCCUUGACCCGCCGGCUUGCGAAAUCCGCCGCUUUCCCCCACGAUCGCCCUCUUCUCCGGCGGUCAAGCU